CCAUAUUUAUCAGUUACAACAUUCCAUAAAUCGGGCUCAAUUAACAUUUCAUCACAUUUUUAAUAUGGCUCACAUAAUAAUAUCGUCUAUGUUAAUACAUGACUAAUUGUUCACAAAUUCUACAACUGCAGAGUCACUAACUAUUUGACAUACAUAGCUUUUUAUACAUAUAGUUACAUAACAAAAUAAUUACGGAACUAGGAAAAUUUCUCUAUUGCUCUGCGCCGAAGAAACAUAGCCUAAAUCGAAUUAAAGAAAAACUUACUUCCUA
rnacentral:lncRNA from 1 species